rnacentral:rRNA from 1 species
AGAAUCAACGCUGGCGGCGUGCCUCAGACAUGCAAGUCGAACGCGAAAGAGGGCUUCGGCCUUCGAGUAGAGUGGCGCACGGGUGAGUAAGACGUAGGUAAUUUACCUUUGGGUGUGGAAUAGCGGCUGGAAACGGCCAUUAAUACCGCAUAACGCAGCGGCAUCCUAGGAUGACAGUUGUUAAAGCGGGGGCGGGAGCAAUCCCUCUCGCGCCAGAAGAGAAGCCUACGGCGGAUUAGCUAGUUGGUGAGGUAAUGGCUCACCAAGGCCGUGAUCCGGUA